GUCCCUUUGAUAAUCUACUAACUGCCUUAAAUGAAGCUUGAUGAUCCUUUGUGAGUUAUUAGUGGAUUGUUCAAUGGUGCAGUGGUUAGAUUAGUGAAAUCUCACAGUGGUAUAGUAAAUGUAUCCAAAGGAAUCUGGAAAUUGACGCAUCUCUAUGAAAGGAAGUGAUAUCUUUAUUCUUCCCAAUGUGUCUCAUUAUGUUCUUUUCCUUUUUAUAUGUACCUACCACUAUUAAGAAGAUGUGACUGUAUUACCUGAAUUUCAAGUGGACUACUCCAUGAAUAAUGUUUCCAGUUCAGUGGAACUCUAGAGGUGCUGUCUUCAGGUCACAUCUUUAACUCUCUCCUGGGUCCUAAACCUAUGACAGUGCUGAGGAAAGACUGAUUAAUAAAGUGAACAAAGUAUGCUGCUGAGCAGAGGCAGUAUUGACUGCCUCAACAAGGAAUCCCUGCAUUAUCUUCUCAGAAGGAUUCUGGAAUUGAUGUGUCAGAAAAGAAGGAUCUCAGUUCCACACCCUCAAGAGACUGAAAUCUGUCAACAAUCAGUGACCUUGGAAGAAGAGCAAUUUUGCACAACACCUCAGGUCUGACAACAAGCACAGCUAGGUGAAUCUCCUGGAUGGCCCCCCCAUAUUUACUCCCACUUUACCUUCUGAGCAAGAACUUUGUCACUUUUCUACUUAGUUGGAAAGACUUAUGAACAAAAUCUGAAGACCGAUUUUUAUGGAACGGAGGCUUUUCAUACUACCCAUCUCCCUGGCUGUGUAUUUUCAAAUUUUAUGCCUCAUCUGCUAAAAUCUGUCUCAGCACAAACCCAGACUGUGCAGCUGUGUAAAUCAUGUGUGUCUGUGACCAGGUGUGCCAAGGAUGACUGUGGAGAUACCACUGUUAAGUAAGCCUCCCGCUAAAAGAAGAGACACAGGUAACAUUGACUUUCAGUUGUUGACAUGCUGGCUGG